rnacentral:misc_RNA from 1 species
CAUACAGUUGUCGUUUAGGGAAUAAAAAGUAUUAAUUUCAGGCUUCAAACACUGUAAACUUUUAAAGUAUCAAAGUUUUUAGCAUGUUUAACCAAACUGAAGAAGUGUUUACGUUCACUUGGGAAUUUGACGACCUCAUUGAUUUAUUAAAUACGGUGGGUGAAUACCAGAGAGAAAGUAAAAUUGUUGAGGCUAAACAACUGAAUGGCACAAAAUGGUAUUUAAGAGUGUACAGAUGUCAAUCACUAAUUGCAGGCUGUUUUACGUGUUGUUUAUGCAGACUGAAUGACGAAGACAAAUCUGAAAAUAUAUCAGUAACAUAUAAAUUAGAACUGAUUGAUACGUAUGGGAAGAUAUUCAAAUCAGUUGUAAAGGAAAAUAUCACCUUUUCAAGAAGAUCUAGCAGUGAAGUUGACAGUUUUCUAGAUAGUAGUUCCUUGGAACAGUAUAGGAAAUUUACAGGACUCUUGUGUCCGACAUUAAAUAUUCGCUGCCAUAUAAUUGACGCAAGUUACAAAAAACAAGCAAUGACGGUGGAAAUUCCAACUGUAAUCCAUACACAGUGGAAAAUAAGUAUUCCUGGUCCUGAAAUCUGGUCAAAGAAGUUAAAAGUUCCAUUUCAUGAAUGUACUCAUAUAGAUAUUAUUAUGCAUGCUACCGAUGAAAGAAUCAUCAUAAAAAUUGAAAAAGUGGAUUCGUUGCAACCUUAUAAAAUGAAUGUAUCAAUAUUGAGUGAUGAAAAUCGCAAAAUAGAUUGUGAAUUGCCAAAAAAAGCCGUCGAAAACCAAAAAUUUGAGACUUGGAUUGAAAAACGUCAGCUUGUGGACAAAUCAUGCUUUCACUUACCAUAUUCCUUCACUCUGGUAUGUUCCAUUACUACUUCAAAUGGAAGUUUAGAUUCAAGCGUUGAGAAUUGGAAGCAGGACAAUUCUUUUCCAAGUUUAAAGGCUUCUCCUUCAACUCUGCAAAAAGAUCUCAAGAAAAUGCUAUUGAACGACAAGCAUAGCGACGUAAAAUUGAAGGCACAUGACAAAAUCAUAGCUGCUCACAAAUGCUUCCUGUCAGCCCGAUCUACCGUGUUCUCCACCAUGUUCGAUCAAGAUAUGCUGGAAACUCAGACUGGCGUUGUUGAUAUUCUUGAUGUAGAAAGUGAAUCAUUUUUAGAAAGUGAAUCAUGACUCUGCAAUCAUUUUUAGAGUUUCUGUAUACUGAUGCGAUCCCCGUUACCGAUUGCGAGGAAGUUUUGAAACUGAUGUUAGUGGCUGAUAAAUAUCAAGUUGACAAUCUAAAAGAACGAUGCUCACAAAUACUGAUCACAAAAUUGAGCGUGGAAAACAUUUGUCAAAUAAUUUCUGUUGCUGAAAUGGUAAAUCAUCCAGAACUAAAACUGUCUGCGUUCGAUUUUAUAAGAGCAAACAAAAAAGAAAUAAUUUCGUCCUCAAUUUGGUCAGAGUGGAUGAAAAAGAAUAUGGAAUUAGCUACCGAAAUUUUAAUGAAAAUGAUUGUCGAUUAAACUCAACACCUCUUUAUGUGAAAGGAAAGAUUCUUGAAAUUAUGCAAAAGAGCUGGCUUGGCGCAGAUUGUGAAAUUGGCACUAUUUCUGCAAUAUUGAAAAUUUUACUCAUGUAUUUUUCAAACUGUUCGAUGAAAAUACAUUUGUAUAUUUUUUUGUUGUAUAA